AUUGAACGCUGGCGGCAGGCUUAACACAUGCAAGUCGAACGAAUGGCGGAGGGGUGCGUAAUUCUUGGAAAUCUGGCUUAUGUACGGAGAUAACUCCGAGAACCUUUAGAUAAUACAGCUUAACAUAGGAUGAGCCCAAGUGGGAUGAGGUAGUUGUUGAGGUAAAGGCUCACCAAGCCGACGCUCUCUAGCUGGUCUGAGAGGAUGAGCAGCCACACUGGGACUGAGACACGGCCCAGACUCCUACGGGAGGCAGCAGUGGGGAAUAGUGCGCAAUGGGGGCAAGUUGACGGAGCCAUGCCGCGUGAAUGAAGAAGGCCUUCGGGUCGUAAAGCUCUUUCGGUAGCGAGGCGUUAACUACCCAAGAAGCCCCGGCUAACUCCGUGCCAGCAGCCGCGGUAAUUC
rnacentral:rRNA from 1 species